GAUCUUUGCAUUCUUUUGUCUUUUCAUGGUGAAAAAAUACAAGGCUCGCAUUGCAGAACUUCAAAGUCAGGAUGGCAACGUGUGGAACCGGCUGUCCAGGCUGUCACACAGG